rnacentral:rRNA from 1 species
UACGGGGGGAGCAAGCGUUGUUCGGAUUUACUGGGCGUAAAGGGCGCGUAGGCGGCACCGCAAGUCGACUGUGAAAUCUCCGGGCUUAACUCGGAAAGGUCAGCCGAUACUGCGGGGCUAGAGUGCAGAAGGGGCAACUGGAAUUCUCGGUGUAGCGGUGAAAUGCGUAGAUAUCGAGAGGAACACCUGCGGCGAAGGCGGGUUGCUGGGCUGACACUGACGCUGAUGCGCGAAAGCUAGGGGGAGCGAACGGG